rnacentral:rRNA from 1 species
UACAGAGGUGGCAAGCGUUGUUCGGAAUUACUGGGCGUAAAGGGCGCGUAGGCGGUCAGGUCAGUCCCGUGUGAAAUCCCUCGGCUCAACUGAGGAACUGCACGGGAAACUGCCUGGCUUGAGUUCGGGAGAGGGAAGCGGAAUUCCGGGUGUAGCGGUGAAAUGCGCAGAUAUCAGGAAGAACACCCGUGGCGAAGGCGGCUCUCUGGGACGGUACUGACGCUGAGACGCGAAAGCGUGGGGAGCGAACAGG